UUUAAGCGCAACUAUAAGUUUCCGUUUUCAACUUUGAUCGUUUGUUUUAUUUGAAUUUUUUUUUGUUAGUAGUAGUUUUAUUGUUAUUUGAUGAUAAAACAUGAAUAGUAUCUUAUGUGUGACUUAUGUUUUUUUUUCAAAAAAUUUUCAAAUAAGACCAACGAUUAAAGUUGAAUACGAAAACUCAUCGCUACGUUUAAA
rfam:Oryza glumipatula chromosome 3, whole genome shotgun sequence.